AAAAACAAAUUAAACAAAAUAGUGUUCUGUCUUCUGUCCACUCGGAUCCAAUUUGUCCCUCUCACUCUCCCUCUCCCUUUCUCUCUCACUCUCACCAGACGCAACCACCGCCUCCAUCGCCACAACCUCCGACUCUCACUCUCACUCUCUCAGAUCUGUCUUCUCGGCCGGCCGUCGAUGCCCCUACCACGCUCCACCGCCGGCCACCGCCGACAUAACACCUGCCUCAGCCACUGCUGAGCUCUGCCAAACCCGCCGCCUCUGACGACGACCCUGGUUCUGAUCUCCCAGAUCUGACUUCCUCCUGGUGACGACGACUCGAGAGCAGCGGCGGUGAGCGGCUUCGACUUCGACACCAGCGGCGAGGAUUUCAACAGCAGGAGUGAUGCUUCACAACUUAUUAGCAUGGCUCAAUAACCAAUAGAUUGAAUAUUACUGCCUGUUACUUUACAGUUAGCUUUUGAGGCACAUGAUGGUCAAAAGUGUUGCAAUGGAGAGCCCUUCACCAUACACCCAGUUGCAGUAGCACAAAUUCUGGGAGAACUAGAACUAGACUGGGAAUAAAUUGUUGUUGAGCUCUUGCAUGAUACAGUAGAAGAUACAAAUGUUGUUGGAACUAUAGGUUUAUCUUGAUCCUGUUCGGGUUGUUGCGAUUGGUAGGAAAAUAGAAGAUCUCCUUACUAAUCUAGAAAUUAUGAAUGGCUAUCAAUAUCUGCAUAACUCUGUGGAGGGAUAUGUGGAAGGCAAUCCAGUGACCGACCAAUAUGCAGACCACAAUAAUAGUCAUGUACGCUCAUCCAUGUCUUACAUAAGUUUAUCCAAACUGGUUUGAAGAAUUUUAACAUGGCAUUUCAUUUAUUCCAGUGAGUUAUGAAUUUGUGCCUUAGUAAAAAAUUGAACUGCUCCAGCUGAUUUUCGAUUCCCUACAACAAACCAGACUAGACAUUGUUUCACAUGCCAUGUUGAGUUUCACAGUUUGCAGAUACUGCACACUUCCUCCUAUGGUCCAUUGUUGGUAGCAUUAUGCAGGAAAUGGUUUGCAGAGAUGUAAUAGUUUGCAGAUUAAAUAAGAAAUUAAAUUCUAGAAUGUUUUAAAUUGUACAUUCAUGAUGUAAUAGUUUGCAGAUUAAAUAAGAAAUUAAAUUCUAGAAUGUUUUAAAUUGUACAUUCAUGAAUGAAUUCUCUUCAUUAAAUGUGUA